UUUUUCAUAAACAAGAUGGCGACCUGCAAGAAUGUAAACAAACAGGAUUUUUUUGAAUUGCGUUUGAAAUUGACGUGUCCCACUUGCUGCUUUGCAAAGUCAAAUAGAUCUAGAUCUAGAUCUAGAAUCUAGUCCCGGUCGGAAACAGUGUUGAGGUUUCUCUAAAGAACAAUGUUCUUCAGAAGCAUUCGCAGAGCCUUAGUGCUAGUCACUGCAGCUGUUGCCAUUCCCUACACUGUACCAAUCGUCUGUCAUGAUAUUUUAAUGCAACAUUUCAAAAAGAUGUGCAGAAAACUCAAGUACAAUAAUCAGAAGACCCGCAAAAUCGAGAUAGGAGAUGAGGAGGAAGAAGAUGAUUGGGAAGAAUAUAUACAUUUGAGACACUCAAAAUGAACUCAGUGAAAACAGAGGACAAAGCCUUCGCAACCUUUGGCAUCCAACUUCCAUGACUGGUCAGCAUAAAUCUAGAAAUGAAGUUGCAAGACAGAUCCAAGAAUGCUGCAAAUGCUGGAUCUAGCCCCAAAAGCAACCCUCACAAAACUCUAGAAAAUCCCAAAGCCUCCCUGAUGACCCAAUACCCUGACACCUUCAAUGGAAUUGGGAAGUUUCAAGGAAAAUACCACAUUCAUAUAGACCCACAGUCCCAAAGGCCACCCAUCCACAAAGGAAAAUACCCCUCAAACUAAAGGACAAAAGACAGAACUGGAUGAGAUGGGAACAAUGGGAAUCAUCAAGAGAAUCAAGGUGGGAGAACCCACGUACAGCUUGGGUGAACAGCUUGGUAUACAGAGAGAAACCAUCGGGAUGGCUAUGUCUUUUCCUAGACCCCAAAGACCUCAACAAAGCAAUACUGAGGGAGCAUCACACCACACCAACUCUGGAAGAAAUUUUGCCACACCUCUGCGGAGCAAGGUACUUCUCCAUACUUGAUGCAAAAUGUGGAUACUGGAACGUUGAGCUUGAUGACAAUUCAAGUUAUCUGACCACAUUCAAUUCUCCAUUUGGCCGAUACCGAUUUCUAAGAAUGCCCUUUGGACUUUGAAUGAGCCAAGACGUUUUCCAAGCGAAAAUUGAUCAGACAUUUGAAGGCUGCAAAGGUAUGAUUGGCUUUGCAGACAAUAUCGUGGUGUUUGGGAAAACUGCAGAAGAACAUAACGCAAACCUACAGAACAUGAUACUUCGGUGUAAGGAAACUGGACUCAAGCUGAACCCAGACAAAUGCAGAAUCAAGGAAAACCACUUCAGGUUCUACGGCAUAAUCUGCACAGGCGAAGGGAUCGAGCCUGACCCAGCAAAGGUCGAAGCCAUCAAGGCUAUGAAAGCUCCAGAAAAUGAGAAAGAGCUACAAUCCUUCCUGGGUCUAGCGACAUACAUGGGCCCCUUCAUCCAAACCAUCAGCCAGCUCUCAACACCACUAAGAGAACUCCUUUCCAAGUCGAACAAGUUUGAGUGGACAGUUAACCACCAAAAUGCUUUCCAGAAGGUCAAGGACUCAAUUACAAGGAGGUCAUGCUCACCUACUUCAAUCCGGAAAAACCAAUCACAUUGCAAGUAGAUGCAUCCAUGAAAGCACUUGGUGCUACACUCCUGCAAGAUGGUAAGCCAGUAGCAUUUGCCAGCAAAACCCUCACAGAUGAAGAAACGCGAUACGCCAACAUCGAACAUGAACUCCUCGCUGUGGUAUACCGGUGUGAACGGUUCCAUACAUACCUGUACGCACAGACAUUCGAAGUUGAAUCUGACCACCGCCCUCUCCAGUCGAUCCAGCUAAAGCAUCUCAAGGCAGCACCCCCCAGACUCCAGAGAAUGCUACUAAGACUGCAACCAUAUGAUUUCCAAUUCAUCUACAAACCAGGAAAACAGAUGCUUAUCGCUGACGCCCUGUCCAGACUCCCUGGAAAUGAGAAGGAACUAAUAGAGGGCCUGAAUGUCAAGAUCCACACUAUAGCGACACUGUUCAGUGGAAAUUAUCUGCAACGUAUAAAAGAUGCUAUCGCCACAGACACAGAACUGAUGGCCCUGAAAGACUUACUCUACUUUGGCUGACCAGAGAAACAAUAAGAUGUACCUUAUCAAUGCAAAGCCUACUAGAACUAUCGGGAUGAAAUAUCCAUUGAUGAUGGAAUUCUCAUCAAGGGAUCAAGGAUAAUCAUCCCUAAAUCUAUGAAAGAAGAGGUUAUGAAGAAACUCUAUGAACCACAUCUUGGUACAGAGAAAACAAAGCUCCGCGCCAGACAGACAGUUUUUUGGCCAAAUAUCAACAAAGAAAUAGACCUAACAGUCUCAGAAUGCCAAGUGUGCCAAAAACACCAGGCAAGUCAACAAAAAGAACCCCUCAUCCUAUCAGAGAUACCACCUAGACCAUGGCACACCAUAGGCACUGAUCUAUUCUACCUGAAUGACGAUGAAUACCUUCUCAUCAGCGACUACUAUUCGAAGUUUCCGAUUGUCAGCAAAGUGUCAAAAGACACCAGCAACGGCACAACAAGAGUUAUCACCUUCUUGAAACAAGCUUUCAGUGAGCAUGGAAUCCCAGAAAUUGUGCGAUCUGACAAUGGACCACAUUUCAGCGGAACUGCCUUCAGAGAAUUUGCAACAACUUAUAGAUUCCAGCACAAAACAAGUUCACCCCAUUAUCCAAAAAGUAACGGUUUCAUCGAGAGCCAAGUGAAACUCGUGAAACGUACCUUAAAAAAGGCUUUUUGAAACAUCCCAAGACCCAUACCUGAGCCUUCUUGCUCUUAGAACAACACCAAUCAACAACAGCUUACCUUCUCCUAGACAAAUGCUUUUCAACAGACAACUGCGAGACACAAUGCCAAGAAAGAUACAUCGCGCUGCUAACAAUGAACAAAUUGAGAAAGGACUAGAGAAAAGGCAGGAAACACAAUAGUACCACUUUGACCAAAGCACAAAGAUAUUGCCGCCUUUAUCAAGAAACGAACAUGUGACAGUACAAAUCCCAAAAACAAAAAA
rnacentral:lncRNA from 1 species